GCGGAUCUAUAUGCUUCGGAAAGAAUAUUGCUUGUAUUGUUAUCUGCCGGUGGUAGGGAUGUGUUGGGUGAUUCUGGAGAAAUCAAGGUUUCACCUGAUUCCGGGAUCGGCAAAGUACUAAAUGCACUGGUGCAUCUGGAAGAACCUAAUGAGGUGCUUGUACCUUCUAUAUUUGACACUCUGGAACGAGUCAAAAUUUGCUGAAUUUCAGCUUGAGCCGUGACGGCCGCUAAAACGGGCAACUUAUUUAAUUGUGCAGCUACGCUCUUCCCGAAAAUAUCGAAUUCAUUUUCAGAUGAUUCCGUAGAUUGUAGAUCUCGAAUAGACGUCGUUAAAGAAUUUAAGUCUUUGAUGCAACCAGCAACUUCUUUAAUCUUGGACUUCGCUGCCUUAUGGCGUUUUGGAGUAGGUUCAUUAAUAGCUCCACUAACAUUCGCUUUUAUUACCUCUGCUGCUAAUGGUACUUCUUCGUGUGUUGCCUCUUCAACUUCAUCUUCUACUUGUAAUGUAUUCGAUCCAUUAUAUGUUUCUGAAGCCUAGAAAAUAUCUCAUAUUCACACAUUUGGCAUAAUAAGAAAUUAUUUAGUAUUUUUUAUUUUAGGUACCAAAAAGUAACAAAGAAUGGAAAGCUAUCGAAAGUGAUUUCAACCAUAGAUGGAAUUUUCCAGGAUGUUAUGGUGCCAUUGAUGGAAAACACAUACUUAUUCGAGCUCCUGAGAAUUGUGGCAGUAACUUUUUCAACUAUAAGGGACAAAACAGUAUUAUUUUGAUGGCAAUUGUAGACGGAAAUUACAAUUUUAUAUACAUUGAUGUUGGCUACAAUGGAAGAGCCUCAGAUGGAGGAGUUUUUGCGCAGUGUUCUAUUUUUGCUGCUUUAGAAAAGAAUAUAUUACCGGAUGGUGGAUUUCUUGUUGGAGACGACGCUUUUCCGUUAAAGCAUUAUUUACUUAAACCAUAUUCAAAGAAUGCACUUACUGUUGAUGAAAAAAUCUUCAAUUAUAGAUUGUCUCGUGCAAGAAGAAUUGUGGAAAAUGGUUUUGGUAUUUUAGUGUCUAGUUUUUGAGAAACCCAUAGCUUGUGGACUAUCAUCAGUGGAUAAAAUAGUCAGAACAUGUUGUGCCCUACAUAACUGGCUUAGAUGCACUACUGUAAAUGAAUAUUUGCCAAAGGGAUCCGUUGACGAAGAAGAUAUCGAUCAAGGUAAAAUUAUUCUUGGAAGUUGGAGGUCAGAAGUAGCUGGUUUGCCAUCAGUUUCACGUAUAGGAAGUAAUCAUUCUUCACAAUUUGCAAGAAAUUUAAGGGAUAAAUAUAAACACUAUUUUAUGACUACAGGGGCCGUUUCAUGGCAGGAACGAAUGAUUUUUUAAUUUCAUUUUAAUAUAUUUUGUAUUCAAUUACUAAUAUAGGUACAUAUAAUAAAAAAUAUAUAGUAGCUUCUUACUUACCAAAUUACUGCAUGUUACCCUUCUCUUAUCCAUUGUUUGUAAAAACAUAUGCAUAACUGAAAACCACUUCAUUUUUGGUUUAUAUAUUUCUAUAUAUGCUACCUCUUGUACAUACGUCGACCUUAGAGUUUUUAUUUUGUUUUUUACAUCUAUUGGGCCAAAAUUCUCGAUUUCCAUUGUUUCCACAAUUCUUUCUAUAGCCGACUCACGGGCUUGUUUAUUUCUAUAGAUUACCAACUGUGUAUUCCAAAGGCACUCUUCCUCCCUAUAUAAUUCUACAAACUUUACUGUGGUAUCUUCAGUCCAUUUUGCGCACAUUUUGAAUAAUAAUAACACCUACACUUUAAAACAAUUACUAAAACUACGUACUGAUUUAUUUACUAAAAUCGAACGCUGGAAUCAUCGUGUCUACACAGGUUUAGUUAAGAGGAUAGUGAGAGUGGGGGUAACCACUUGCUCCAGUAAAUAGAAAUGCUUUCUAUUCACUGUACUGGAAUCGUUACUAAAAUCAGUACUGGAAUUUAGUAUUGGAAUAUAUGUUUACACAAAGCAAGUACUAAAAUCCAGUGCUGGAUUUUUGUAACUUGUUCAAGUCACUGGCAUCGUGUAAACCCCCCUUUACGAUAUAUUGGAAAUCGUGGUAUAUCAGACACGUUGGUUCUCGUCGGAUGUUAAAUAAUCGUAACGACCAAAUUAAAUAAGUUUUUUAACCCUCCUCAUGGAAAGCGGACGUGUUUUUAGUGUGUUUUGUUGUUAUACUGUUAUUUAUUUAUCCUAAAAAUGUCUAGAGGCUUACGGUGUCUGAAUUUGUGUAUUAAAAGUAAAGAAACUGUUGAAACCCUGAAAUUGCGACUCACAAACGAAGAUAUUUCCGAAGGAACAACAAUGUUUCAAAAGGUACGUUAUUUUAAAAUUAAAUUCGCGUAAUAAUGAUAAAUUAAAAAAAUUAAUUAACUAAAUUAAUGUUGUUCAAUUAACAAACGGUGCCAUUUUAUUAUUGUAAAUAAUUAUAAAUUUUUAGACGUUGGCGGUACUCCCACAAACAAAGGGAGACGAAUCUAAAGAUGCUCCAGACCCCAUGACUAUUCUUGGCAAUGUUAAUAACAAUGCUUUUUUAGAGCAAAAUCCAGAACUAUCCUUUCAACCCAAGCCUGAUUAAGAAAUUAUUGUUAAUAAAUUAGCGGGACAUGAAGCUACGGUACAUUCACAAACAAACGGAGACGAACCUAAAAAUGAUCCAGAAACCAUUAUGACCUACACUAUUCUCGAAAAUGUUAUUGACAGUGUUAUUUCUGAGCAAAAUCCAGAGUUAUCUCUGCAACCCAAAGGUGAUCAAGAAGUUAUUAUCAAUGAACCAUUAGCAGGAGGAGCUGCUGAAACUAUCGACCUUGAUAAAGACAACAUCCCUAUUAUUAUUAUACAACCAAAUGGAACAGUUGUUUCUAAUGAGGAAAAUAGUAUUGCCAUGAAUUCAUUCAGUGCUGCGGUAUAAGUAAGAAUAAAGCUAAAUACAUCAAACACGUUAUGUGUGUGUCUUUUAAGAAUUGCUUUAUUAUUAUUAAAUUUCAGCUGACCUCAAUCUUACUGGUGUAUCAGACCUUGACUUCCUGAUGAACGAAAGUGUUCUGUUCUGUUCAAUGAAACAAUAAGUGCUGAAAUUAUGACGUUUCCAUUCGAUAAUAAUAGUUCAAGUAUAGAAAGUUAUGAUCCCCAGUCUAAGCAAACAGUGACAACUCUUCAGAACAAUAAAUCCACAGAUGAUAAACAAGCAAUGGCUAUCAAUAUUGACAGAGAAGUUAAUGAUAAUAAUGAAGAAGACAUUAUAGUUCAGAAGAUCAAAGCAGUGAUCGGGCUAGCACUGGUUUGUCCAAACAUAAAAUCAAAAAACCAAAUAAAAGGCUAGAAAAAAAGAAACUAAAGAGUUCUGGUGUAAAUAAAGCAGUAAAGCCAAAUCCAUGUGCUGGGAAAAAAUGUCAGAAUAAUUGUAAAUCAGUAAGUGAAACUGACAGAAAGCAAAUAUUUAAUGCCUAUUAUGAACUUGAGACCUAUGAAGAAAAGAAAAGUUGGCUAAUUCAAUGUAUGAAGCAAAAAGAAAUAGAAAGAAAACGUACCAAGAAUAAUAAUUCCAAGCGAUAAAAAACUAUAGAAUAUAACUUAACAGUAGAAGGAGAACAAAAAAGAGUUUGUCAGCAGUUCAUACUAAAAACCCUGGAUAUCAGUCAAAUGUUUUGGCGACAAACCAUAAACAAUGUUUCUAAGACAGGAAUGAUUAAAAAAGACUCGCGAGGUCGCUGUGCACCAAAAAAUAAGACAUCUGAGCAAUCUAUUAAACAUGUCAAUGAUUUUAUUAAUAAAAUACCAGUGGUGCCAUCCCAUUAUUGCCGCUCCCAAACAAAGAAACUUUACAUGCUCUCUGAAAUUGGAAAUUUUUCAAAUCUAUACAGAUUGUAUAAGGAAGAUUGUAAAAUGCAAAAAAUGGAUCCAGUGAGCAGAGCAACGUUUUUAAGGAUUUUUUAAGGUUACAAUCUAGGCAUUCAUGUAAAAAAAAAGAUAAAUGCAGUCUUUGUGAAAGGGUCCUAAGUACAGGCGAAAAAAAUGUAGAAGCAGCAGGUUUAGAAAACUAUCUGCGUUAUAGAGAAGAGAUAAAAAAUAGUCGUGAUAAAUUUAAAAAAGAUCAAGAAAAUUGCGACCCGAAUUUCAUGUGUGCAUCUUUUGAUCUACAGAAGGUGUUAACUACGCCACACGGAAACAGUAUACUUUUAUAUUAUGCUCGUAAAUUAGCUGUUUACAAUUUCACGGUAUAUGAAAGUAUAACAAAAAACGGUUUUUGUUUCCUGUGGAACGAGACUUUGGGAAAAAAAGGUUCAAACGAAGUUUGCACUGCCCUACAAAAAUACCUUGAACUUUUGGAUCAACGUAUUUCUCCUGAAAUAUCCGAACUUUCCCUGUACUGCGAUAAUUGCAGUGGACAAAAUAAAAACAAACAAUGCAAUGCAAUUUGGCAAUGAUUAACACAUUUCGUAAAACAUCUAUUCACAUACAAAAAAUCACAUUAAACUAUCUAAUUGCCGGUCAUACAUACAUGCCUGUUGAUUCUAUGCAUUCCACUAUAGAAUCAUUUAUAUCAAAAAGAACCAUUUACGCACCUUCAAUGUGGAAAUCUGCUAUAAGUCUUGCAAGGCACACACCCGGACCAUAUUUCGUCAAUUUAUUAAACUAUGACAAUUUUCUGAACUAUUCAAUCAUUGCAAAAGAGGUUUCUAAUUUUUUCCCAGUAUGUUGAAGACACAGAAACUACUGAACAACCUGAAUCAAUUUUAAAGAAAAAACGAGCUAAAACUAGAAGCAAAAAACCUAAAUUAGUCCAAGGUAAGCCUCUUCAAAUUUCCAAAAUUCGGGUGGUAAAAAUGGAAGCAGAAAAUCCAAAAUACAUGACAGUUCAGUAUAGUUAUUUGCAAGGGUUGCCAAUGAACAGCACUUUACUAUUAAAAAUGACGGAAAGCCCCUUAAUAAAUGCCACACUUCCCUACUGCCGAUAUCGGCGGCUAAAUACAAAGAUCUCAGCAAAUUAUGUUUGCAGUCAGCUAUUCCAAAGGACUAUCAUACCGAAUUCAUUAGUCUGCCACAUUCGCAGGACAUUAUAGACGUAUUACCGGACACAGAUGAAGAGGACGAAGGCGUUUAAUUUAUUAUUAUUUUUUGAAAUGUUUUGUUUAAUGUUGCUGCUGUUACUGUCGUUUUUUUAAAAUAAAGAUACCAUGACUGUAAUAAAAUCUAAUUAUUUUAAUUUGGUGCUUACGAUAUUAUAAAAAUAAUUCGCAAGUUAUUUUGAUACAAGCAACAUAAAAAAUAUUUUAAGCUUCAUGGAAUUCCCAAAACGCAUUUUUAAAAUAUCAUAAGCGACCUUUAUUUAACAUAAUAUUAAUAGUUUUUGGAAAUUGGCUUUAAAAUAAUAAAACAAUACCUCUUCCCCAUACAUCCUUCACAACAAAACAAAAAUUUAUUAAAAAUAAUGAAAAAUAAACGUUUUUUGCGUUUCCUGUAAAAUUACUAAAAUGGCGAAGAUAUUUUGCCUGGACAGUGACGAUAUGAACGUUUGAAUUUAGGUAGUGAAUUGUCAUUAUCAAUUUUUUUAGGUUGGACCUUUGACACUUCGAAUCAGUUGUUUUUUUUUUGACAGCAGAGGGGAAAUACUUGUUAGUUAAUGUAAUUAUAUCGAAUAAUAUAUUUGCUUACUAAUUCGGCAUGUUUCAAGUUUAACCUUUACGUGUGAUAUAAAUGAUAUGAUAUAGAUGAUAUAAUGAUAAUUAUAGCUACAAUUUAAGGUAUUGAUACCGAUGGUAAACUUUUGACAUUUCGAAUAAGCUGUAUUAUUUUUUGAACAAGCACAGAGAGCACACACAUUUUGACUCAAUUUUUUUAUUGAUUUGACAGAUAUCUUCAAUUUAGCAUAUUUUAAUAAUUUUUGCAAUUCUAGUCACAUUGAAUGGAUCGUAAAAAAGUAAAAUAUUCACAAAAUUCACCAAAAUAUUAUAUGAACAGAGUUUCGUACAAAUGUACUAAAACACCAACAAUAACCAAUUGCUUGAUGCAAAAAAUGACAGUUCCAAAUUGGUACUAGGGUUGGGCAGUAAUAUAAUUAAGACAGUUACUAGUAGUAUGGUCCGUUGUUAAGCAUUUUUAAAGUUAAGUAAAGUCAAUUGAAAUAUUUUAUAUUUUAAGUCGGGUUCUCAAGAAAAAGUAUCAUGUACUAAAUUUGACAGUACUUUAGCAAAAAUACACUACCUAGUACAAAUUACGCAACGCGGGGUCUUUGACAGAUACCAGUGCCUGUCAAAAGAGCAAAAUGACUUUUAAAUUGUUACUAGAGCUGGACUGAAAGAAGUUUUUCUUUAUGUACCAACAAUAUCGAUAUUUUAAUAUUUAUAAGGCAAUUGUCCAAAUUUACAAAGAAAACGAAAUUUUAAUUGCCC
rnacentral:lncRNA from 1 species